CCUUUAGUAUCAGGGGGACUUAACCUAUAUUUGGUAUUAUACCUUGAAAAGGAUAGAGCUAUUUGUAUCUCAUAUCUAGGUUUCAGUCUAUUUAGUUAUAUACUUCUAGAAAAGAUAUUUUAACAUUAUCCUUAUAUCCAGCUAGCUUUUAAAUAAUUAAAUUACACUUUUUAAAAAAUGAUCUUCUAUUGAAUAAAUUUUAGGAAACCUAAAACCUUUAAAAGAAUUAAUAUUAUUAUUUAAACAGGCGUUUCAUAUUCUAACCUCCAACCAAUAUAAAUUCUUAUUACCUAAGCUUUUCUAAUUAAUUUAAAAUUUAAUAAUAGGUCUAUUAGUAAAAAUUUUUUAUUAUUGAAUUUAAAUGUUAUUUUAAAUCUAAGUCCAACUAGCAAAAACUAGACUAUUUGUUUCUUCGCCUGUUUAACAAAAACAACUCUUUUAUUUACCAUUCAAGGUAGGACCUGCUCACUGAUGAUUAAAAGCCGCAGUAUCAUGACUGUGCUAAGGUAGCAUAAUAAUUAGUUGUUUAAUUGACCACUGGAAUGAAGGGUCUGACGAAAGAAUAAUUUUCUUCUUGUUUUUUGAAAUUAAUAAGUAAAUAAAAAAGUUUAUCUACCUUAGAUAGACGAUAAGACCCUAAAACCUUUUAAGAGUGUUACUCUUUUUGCUGGGGAGGCAAAUUAUAUCUCAUAAUUUAAUAUAACAAAAUGAAUGGGUAUACUCAACUUAAAUUAAACCCAAAAAGGUACUUUAGGGAUAACAGCAUAAUUUUUAUAUAGAGUUACUUAUCGACAUAAAAGAUUAUGACCUCGAUGUUGAAUUGAUAUUACUUUUCUAAGCAGCCCUAGAAAUUCGUAGGUCUGUUCGACCUUUAAUUUAUCACAUGAUUUGAGUUCAAACCGGCGUGAGCCAGGUUGGAUUCUAUCUUCUAGUAAACUUGUAUUUAUCUAGUACGUAAGGACUUUUAAAUAAUAA
rnacentral:rRNA from 1 species